rnacentral:lncRNA from 1 species
AAUCCUAAAUCCUAAAUUAAAUCCUAAGGUGGAUUAGAAUUCUAAUAUCUAUUAAUUAAUUUAUUGAUCUUCCUUGAAAAUUUACAUACCUCUCAAUUUCUUAGUUAAAAAAUAGUAUAACAAAUUUGAAGAUAAUCAUACUUACCAAAUAGAAGAAAAAUCCUAAAACUUGCUUAGGUAUUAGCUGGCCUCCCACUCCAAUCCAAAUGUUGAAUUUCUAGUGCCAAUAUCUCCUUUUCAAACCAUUUUAUUGUUUUCAAAUUUCACAUAUGUAUAGCAAAUUAAAUCUAUUACCUUUAUACAUAAAUUUCACUCCAAUUCAAUUAGUAGAUUAUUGAAGAUUUUAGAAGACCUAAUUGUCCUUCAAAAUCUAAUUUUUGUGACAUCAACCUACUUGAAAUUUAAUAACCUU